rnacentral:rRNA from 1 species
CCUACGGGUGGCAGCAGUGAGGAAUAUUGGUCAAUGGGCGUAAGCCUGAACCAGCCAAGUCGCGUGAGGGAUGAAGGUUCUAUGGAUCGUAAACCUCUUUUAUAAGGGAAUAAAGUGUGGGACGUGUCCUAUUUUGUAUGUACCUUAUGAAUAAGGAUCGGCUAACUCCGUGCCAGCAGCCGCGGUAAUACGGAGGAUCCGAGCGUUAUCCGGAUUUAUUGGGUUUAAAGGGUGCGUAGGCGGCCUUUUAAGUCAGCGGUGAAAGUCUGUGGCUCAACCAUAGAAUUGCCGUUGAAACUGGGGGGCUUGAGUAUGUUUGAGGCAGGCGGAAUGCGUGGUGUAGCGGUGAAAUGCUUAGAUAUCACGCAGAACCCCGAUUGCGAAGGCAGCCUGCCGGCUUCCGACUGACGCUGAAGCACGAAAGCGUGGGGAUCGAACAGGAUUAGAUACCCGAGUAGUC